rnacentral:lncRNA from 1 species
AAAAAACAGAAUGAAAUUACCUACAAAUAUGGCUGGAGCUGCACAUGGUUAACAGUAGGCUUUGCUGGGAAAGGACUCAGUGUCAGCUGACUCUUGAAGCUGCUGACUUGUUUCUUGGGUUAGAGCAAAAAUAAAGCAAAUGAAGCACAGCACAGACAGGAUUUUUAUGGAAAACCACCUGACGCCAUCAGUCUGAUGUAUGCAGCUGAUGUUUUACAGGAAUGGCAAAGGUAAAGUACCUGAGUCCCAUCAGGAAAUGGUUUCUAGGAGCUCACAUUUUAAUUUAUAGUAGAGCUUCUUGGCUGGUUUCUUUCCUGAACCAGGGCUGUUCUCUGAAAUCAGGAAUUUCCAGUUGGCACCAAAUAUCCAGCUGUCCUUCAGCAGCUUUUCACUGCGGGCCAAGAAAAGAAAAAAAUCACUUGAUGUGAGGCUAGAUCAGGCCCUGGGCAACCUGAUCGAGCCAUGGUGUCUCUGUUCAUUGCAGGGCAGCUGAACUAGCUGCCUUCAGAAGUCCCUUCCAACUCUAAGGAUUCUUUGAUUCCAUGCUGUGCAGUGCAUUAGGGGUGACUACAGCAGUGGUUUCUUGCUCUAGGAAGCUUUUCAUCACACACAGUUUGUGGGUAUUCCCAGGUAAUCUGGGCAGAAGUCAAGUCACGAUGGGGAACCAAGUGGCUUUUUCCCUCCUGUUUCAGAGACAGCCAGCAGCUCUAUCACCAGUACAUAUUAUCAGCAAAGAGAAAUGCUGACAGAAGAACUGAGAAACAGUCCUAGAGUGAAUCAGCAAAUCAUGCGCAGCUACGAGCACUGCUCAUGGUAAUUGAGCACAGCGUGUUCACAGCUGGUAAGAUGAGGAGCUGCCAUCACCGUGGCCUGUCUGGUUUGGCAGGGAAGCAGGGGAUCCCCUUCCUCUGGGUUUUCAUCUAACACCUUUGGAUGUACUGCAUGCAUUAACAAUCAGAAGGCAAAGCAAUGCACAAAAGCAAAUGCCAGCUGAAGAAACAGAUGUGCUUUUUUUCAUGUGCCUUUCCCACUCUCAAAACCAGAUUUCUGUUUGUGCAGUAUCUGCCUAUAGAGCAGUCAACCUUUCCUCACCUCAUGAACCAUGAACGUUUGAACCCACUGGCAAGUAUCAAAUUCAGUGCGUGGCAGCAGUCUUGCAAAUAUUAAAUUCCUUCAAGGCUGUGAGAACACCAGCAGCUGGCAAGGAAAGAAAGGCAAGAGUGCACUCUGUGGGAGGGAAGCCCACAACUUGAACUCCUCCAUGGGCUCCCCUUGGCCAGUGACUCCCAGGCAGAAGCUGAGAUCACCCUUGGAGAAGGGGAGGGAGCAGAGGGGGAACUUGGAUGAAACAGAAAGAGCAUCUGAGUCUUUUAAAGCGGUGGAGAAAAGAUUCCUACCUACUGCUCUGAGCAGCAUGAAACUCCAUUCCAGGCUGGCUGCUGUCACAGACGGAGCAAGUGAAGAGAGAAGGAAGGUCUAGACAGAAGCCGUGGCAUCGUGAAAACCAAGGGGCAGAAAGAAGACUGAGAUGACUAAGAGAAACUAAUGACUGCAUAACAGCUUGUGAACAAUUCAGAUCCAUGCUGUGCCCUGCCAGGGCUGCCACUGCUUUCUUCACCAAGCUGCACUCCCCUGGAGAAGAGCACUCAGUGCAGGGGGCUGCGAGAGCCAAGCACUCCCGCUAUCACUUCCACUGCAAGAAGCUGAUGACCCAGAAUGACAACGUUUAUUUGAAACAAACGAACAAACACAUUCCCUUCUGACUAGCUACAUACUCCUUCAAUGAGGUUAAUAAUUACACCUACUUACAGGAAUCUGCUAAACUCAGUUGCACUGAAGGUAGCAUUUGCCCACAGUUACACCGUAAUGGAGCCUGGUAAUUUACGCUUCAGAGCAGAAUAUAUCUGCAGUAACGAAUGAUAAAUGCUUACUUUUAAAUAGCUUAAGGACCUCUCUUUAUUCUCCUGACCUAUUUUCCUCCUGAUUUUUAAUUUCUCUGAUCUGAUCUGCCCUGUUCUUUGCAUCAUCUGUGGCAUUAAGUGAGAUACCUUCCCC